CCUACGGGAGACAGCAGUGAGGAAUAUUGGUCAAUGGCCGGAAGGCUGAACCAGCCAUGCCGCGUGAAGGUCAGUGCCCUAUGGGCGUUAAACUUCUUUUGUGCGGGAGCAAUAAUGGUCACGUGUGGCCAGACGAGAGUACCGUACGAAUAAGCAUCGGCUAACUCCGUUCCAGCAGCCGCGGUAAUACGGGGGAUGCAAGCGUUAUCCGGAUUUAUUGGGUUUAAAGGGUGCGUAGGCUGUGAGGUAAGUCAGCGGUGAAAUGCCCCCGCUCAACGGGGUGAAGUGCCAUUGAUACUGCCUGGCUGGAAUGCGGAUGCGGUGGGAGGAAUGUGUGGUGUAGCGGUGAAAUGCAUAGAUAUCACACAGAACACCGAUUGCGAAGGCAUCUCACGAAUCCGCGAUUGACGCUGAUGCACGAAAGCGUGGGUAUCAAACAGGAUUAGAUACCCCAGUAGUC
rnacentral:rRNA from 1 species